UCCGGAGGGAAGCGAGUGGCGAACGGCUGAGUAACACGUGGAGAACCUGCCCCCUCCCCCGGGAUAGCCGCCCCGAAAGGACGGGUAAUACCGGAUACCCCCGGGCGCCGCAUGGCGCCCGGGCUAAAGCCCCGACGGGAGGGGAUGGCUCCGCGGCCCAUCAGGUAGACGGCGGGGUGACGGCCCACCGUGCCGACAACGGGUAGCCGGGUUGAGAGACCGACCGGCCAGAUUGGGACUGAGACACGGCCCAGACUCCUACGGGAGGCAGCAUG
rnacentral:rRNA from 1 species